ACUUUUGAAGCUCAGUUGGUCAGAGCACCCGUUUAGUAAGUUGGAGGUCUCGAGUUCAACUCUCGAAGAAAGCA
rnacentral:tRNA from 1 species